GAUGAACGCUGGCGGCGUGCCUAACACAUGCAAGUCGAGCGAUUUACUUCGGUAAAGAGCGGCGGACGGGUGAGUAACGCGUGGGUAACCUGCCCUGUACACACGGAUAACAUACCGAAAGGUAUGCUAAUACGGGAUAAUAUGCUUUAGUCGCAUGGCGAAAGUAUCAAAGCUCCGGCGGUACAGGAUGGAUCCGCGUCUGAUUAGCUAGUUGGUAAGGUAACGGCUUACCAAGGCGACGAUCAGUAGCCGACCUGAGAGGGUGAUCGGCCACAUUGGGACUGAGACACGGUCCAAACUCCUACGGGAGGCAGCAGUGGGGAAUAUUGCACAAUGGGCGAAAGCCUGAUGCAGCAACGCCGCGUGAGCGAUGAAGGCCUUCGGGUCGUAAAGCUCCGUCUUCAAGGAAGAUAAUGACGGUACUUGAGGAGGAAGCCCCGGCUAACUACGUGCCAGCAGCCGCCGUAA
rnacentral:rRNA from 1 species